rnacentral:rRNA from 1 species
CCUACGGGAGGCAGCAGUGGGGAAUCUUGCGCAAUGGGCGGAAGCCUGACGCAGCAACGCCGCGUGCGGGAAGAAGGCCUUAGGGUCGUAAACCGCUUUCAGGGGGGACGAAGCUUCCGGGGUUAAUAGCCUACGGGGUGACGGUACUCCCAAAAGAAGGUCCGGCUAACUACGUGCCAGCAGCCGCGGUAAUACGUAGGGACCGAGCGUUGUCCGGAAUCAUUGGGCGUAAAGAGCGUGUAGGCGGCCUAGUAGGUCUCGUGUGAAAUCCCGUGGCUCAACCACGGACACGCACGGGAAACCCCUAGGCUCGAGUCCGGAAGAGGAGAGCGGAAUUCCUGGUGUAGCGGUGAAAUGCGCAGAUAUCAGGAAGAACACCCGUAGCGAAGGCGGCUCUCUGGGACGGUACUGACGCUGAGACGCGAAAGCGUGGGGAGCAAACAGGAUUAGAUACCCUGGUAGUCCACGCCGUAAACGAUGGAUGCUAGGUGUGGGAGGUGUCGACUCCUCCCGUGCCGAAGCUAACGCAUUAAGCAUCCCGCCUGGGGAGUACGGCCGCAAGGCUAAAACUUAAAUGAAAUUGACGGCGUGAGACGUGACCGAAGGCCACACGGAGGGAGUAGG